ACAGACAUUUAAUAAACAAAGACUAUAUGGUUUUGACUUUGGGAUCUUUUAGAUACAUUAAUUAAAUCAAAAGAGAUAGUUCAAAGUACAUAUUAAAGUUAGCGCAUGUAGUGCCUCUUUGUAAAUGAGUAAAAACAUUUUUCAGAUACAAUAAUUGUUGUGAAGACUAUGAAUGGGACGAAAUUUUAGGAAACUGUACAAGUAAGCUUAUUUUUUAAAACAAAGGGUGCUAUUUCAAUGAUAAAACUUACAUAUUCCAUGCACACUUUUUAAAAUACCUUUGAUAAUUGCGUACUAUAAAAAAACAAACAACAGGACCGAUAUAAAGCCAUGCAGAUGGUUGUAGACGGCAGAUGGUUGUAGAAGUGCAUUAAACAAAGUUUUAACCUACAUUUUUUUAUUGUUUCCUAUUUCAGGAUGUAAGCCAGGGUUUUAUGGAAUCAAUUGUAACAAAACUUGUCGAUAUCCUCAUUUUGGUUAUGCUUGCCAACAAAAUUGUUCUCAAUGUUCUGAAGAAGUAUGUGAUUUUGCAAAAGGUUGUUCAAUACUCAAAGUGGUCGAAUGCUAUUGCAUUGGCUAUUUUAGUUCGUUUUUAAAGAAAACGUUGGGGAAACAGGUAAGCAAUGAUUGAAUAAGUUGAAAAUGUUAUGCGUUAAUGAAUUGAUUAAAGAAUUCAAUAGGAAACGACAGGGAUGUUGAGUUUACAAACCAACUAAUUAGCUGGUAAGUACUCAUGAAACUGCUGAUACAUUAGGAAGAUGCAGUUUGGUGCUGUUAAUUUAAGUUAAUAAUUUCUUUUAAACGUUUAAAUAUUUGAAAAUCAUGAUAUCAUUUCAUUAAAAUGACUCUAUAUAUCUCAGGUAUGUCAACUGCAUGCAGUUGAAUAGCAUCUAAAAGCUAUGAGCUGUCGGAAGGCAGUACUACCUGCACUGAAGUGUUUGCCGAUAAAUCACAUUUGUUUGAACCAAUGCAUAUCUAAAGAAUAGUCCAAUAUUGAUCAUUAAUAGAUACUUUUUAAUUUAAUGGUCAAGUAAACCAAGUGGGUUAUAAACUUUUUUUUUAUUUUUUUUACAAUUAUCAGUCUAAAUGUAGUUAAUUAAGCAAAAGUACGAAAAAGGAUUUGCUAAAAAAUUUAUACCAUUCUUUGUUUUAUCAAUUUCGCCCCCUUUUUACAGUAUCAAUGGGUUGUUUUACUACUUACCACAUGAUUCAUCUCCAUUUUUUCUGUUGGGUUAUAGCUUUCUAAAAAUUAUAUCUUUACAUUUAAAAAAAAAAAGGUUUUUAUAUUUUUACACUUUUUGAUAGAAGACGAAACAACAAAUGAAGUUUACGCGAAAGAUGAUGUGAGACACUACAGAGCUACUCCUUUCAACAUCUCGUCUUCAAUUACGAUGAACAAUAUGGGUAAUCUGACUCCUGAUAUAGAAAGAUCUAGGGACGGUGUUUUCCUGGAACAGUUUAGAACAUGGAUUAACACAAAUAUCAUGUCUAUAAUAAUGAUUGGCAUAGUUGGUUUAGUUUUUAUAGCUCUUUUAAUUAUUUUUACACGCAAAAUGAUACACAAAAGAAAUUCUCAAAAGCAUAGUUAUCAAUGUCCAAAUAAUAGAUUAUCAGAACCAGUUCAUUAUGAAGUGAUCUCAAAUAUAGUAGUUUAAUACAAUGAAAAGCGGUUUGCCUUUUUGAAAUCUCAGCAUAAAAAAGGUAAAAUUUGGUUUAGUGCUAAAGUAUGGACACGGCAAGAGGCAAAAUCGGCCCUGUAACCCAAAUUAAUAACAUUUAAUACGGGAUACCUUGACAAUAUGCUGGUUUUAAAACUGUUUUUUAUUGAUAUUUUUUUAUCGUUAUCAUUUUAUAGUCCCUCAAAUUAAGCGUCGUUUAUAUUAUUCCGAUGACGUUAUGACGUACGUUCAGAAUUAAUAUUGACGUCAUAAAUGAAUUCAAGGAAAACAAUAAUUAUCAUUAUCGGCUUCAUUAUUUAUUUCAUUUAGUUUCUGUUAAAUUUCAUCUUCAAUUUCAUUUGCAUAAAUUUAAGUAUUGUUUAAGUAUAUAUAGUGAAACGAUAAGUGCGAAGACCCUUUUUUUUAAGUAUUAGUUAUUAAAUCAAUGGGUUGUUUACUUU
rnacentral:misc_RNA from 1 species